GACCUAGGGUGGAUUAUCGCUGUGGUUAGGCUUUGUCUACGUCGCAGAGGAAAGUCCGGACUUCAAGGGUAAGAAUACUGGCUAACGGCCAGGCGAGGAGACUCGACGGAAAGUGCAACAGAAAGAAAACCGCCAAGCUUUGUUGAGCAUGGUAAGGAUGAAACGGUGAGGUAAGAGCUCACCAGCAACAUGGUGACAUGUUGGCUCGGUAAACCCUAUUCGAAGCAAGACUAAAUAGGGGUCUCACUUUUUCUUUCAAAUUUUCUUGAGAGAGAAAGUAACGCCGACCCGGCGUUGACCCGGGUAAGUCGCUUGAGGUAGCUGGUAACAGCUAUCCCAGAUAAAUGAUAAUCGCUAUGCCAUAAAUGCAUGGAACAGAAUCCGGCUUAUAACCAAAGUUUAUCA
rnacentral:RNase_P_RNA from 1 species